CAUGCCACGUGUGUGACCUCUAAGUAACCUUAGACCAGACCUGUUACCAAGCAAACUUGACAAACACCCAUCGAUGAGCAAUCUUUUUACAACCCUAUUACGUCGAUACACGGAUGUGAUCUGGGUAUAUAAGGCCCUAAAUUUGGAUCCAAAAGUCAGUAUCUAGUCAGCAUCCAGUCAGUAUCUAAUUUAAAUCAAACCGAUCGACAUCAUCUCUGUACCAGUAGUCAGUGCGAAUCUUUACUCGUUACCUACGAUUAUCCCAGUCUAAGUAAUACCCAUCUCGUGUGAGACCAAGCCGUUGUCAAAUCUCCAAGCAGUAAAAAUUGGAAAGGCGGUGCAUCUGAACUGACUGUGGACGCACGAGCGGAGAACGGGUUUUCAGCUUCACAAAGAAGCAAUAAAGGUGUUUAUUGGAACUGGUCUUCUCUCGGCAACAUACAAAUAAAGAACUUCAAGAAAUCAUUAUAUACUAUUUUAUAAUAAAUUUCAUUUUAACUAA